rnacentral:rRNA from 1 species
UGGGGAAUCUUGCACAAUGGGGGAAACCCUGAUGCAGCGACGCCGCGUGAACGAUGAAGCCCUUCGGGGUGUAAAGUUCUUUCGACAGGAACGAUAAUGACGGUACCUGGAGAAGAAGCUGCGGCUAACUACGUGCCAGCAGCCGCGGUAAUACGUAGGCAGCGAGCGUUGUUCGGAGUUACUGGGCGUAAAGAGUGCGUAGGCGGUUUUCUAAGUUCGGUGUGAAAUCUCCCGGCUUAACUGGGAGGGUGCGCCGAAGACUGGGAAGCUGGAGUGUGGGAAAGGCAGGCGGAAUUCCUGGUGUAGCGGUGAAAUGCGUAGAUAUCAGGAGGAACACCGGCGGUGUAGACGGCUUGCUAGACCAUAACUGACGCUGAGGCACGAAAGCGUGGGCAGCAAACA